CUACUAUGAAUUGGCACAAAAACUAACAGCUUAAACUCUUCUGGGCAAAACUACAGAAGAAAAUAAAUCCUGGAGUGUCACAGUUGGCCACAAACUGAGCAUGAGUAAGCUGCCGAGAUACUGAUUGGUGAGAAAAAGCUGAUUUGUGUCAUUGCUAUGUGUGUUACCCUCCCUCAGUGGGCAACCGCCUUAUGAAUUGUGCCCCCAGAGAUCUAUUUAUAGGUCACUUUGCAAAACUCAGAACCCCUUCCCUCUGCAGAAUUAUUGUUACACACAGAGGCGGAGCUCUGAAGCUACUCUAGAAAGGCCCACCUAUGGCUGGAAACCUUCUAUUUAUGAUGAAACAACAGGAGAAAGCAAUUCAGCCCUGAGGUGUAGUUAAUUUUUAUCAUCCCUUUGUUGUGACAGGAAAAUACCCCACCAGAUACUUUAUCAGGGACGUGAUGACGUCAUAGGCAGAAGCGCAGCUUCUUUCAAUGUGCAGGUUGUUACCAUUUGGUGCGCCUUGACCUCUUCCUCCCCCCACCUCUAUUGGAUCUUUCUAGAAGGCUUGCCGCUCACACCCCCCCAACUUAUUUGCAUGUGUGCGCAUGCGCACCCAAGGAGCAAGCGCAGCAGGAGCCGCGCCUCUGACGCAUGCGCACGUGUGUCCCCCGACGCUCCUCACUCUCCGGGUGUGAGAUGGUUCUUCAUUACUUUCCAGGAGUCUGACGACAGCCAGGGGACAAAGGUGCACCCAAACACAAAACCAAACAAACAAAAAAACUGGAGGCAGAUACAGAGGGAAAAGAAUGUGAAGACGUAGAGUGUCUUGUGAAGAUGGAGGAUUGGAGUGAUGUCUUUACAAGCCAGAGAACACCUGAGGCUACAGACCUGGAAGACGGGCACAGGCUGUUUCCUCCCUCCUGCUUUCAGAGGGAUCACGGCCCUGCUGACGCCCUGAUUUUGGACUUCUGGCUCUCAGAACGUGAGUCAAUAAACUUCUGUUGCUUGAAGUCACUCAGUUUGUGGGACUUUGUUAUG
rnacentral:lncRNA from 9 species